rnacentral:rRNA from 1 species
AUUGAACGCUGGCGGCAGGCCUAACACAUGCAAGUCGAGCGAGCGGCGGACGGGUGAGUAAUGUAUGGGGACUGCCCGAUAGAGGGGGAUAACUACUGGAACCGGUAGCUAAUACCGCAUACUAUCGGAUCACACAAAUGGGAUUAUAUAGUAUGUGAGGUAAAGGCUCACCUAGGCGACGAUCCCUAGCUGGUCUGGGAGGAUGAUCAGCCACACUGGGACUAAGACACGGCCCAGACUCCUACGGAGGCAGCAGUGGGAAAUAUUGCACAAUGGGCGCAAGCCUGAUGCAGCCAUGCCGCGGGUAUGAAGAAGGCCCUAGGGUUGUAAAGUACUUUCAGUCGGGAGGCGUUACCGACAGAAGAAGCACCGGCUAACUCCGUGCCAGCCGCCGCGGUAAUUC